CUGCGCUGAUGACAUCUUAGGACACCUUUGGAUUCACCAUGAAAACAAACUUAUUAGUCUGAGCAGC
rnacentral:snoRNA from 1 species